GAUGAACGCUGGCGGCGUGCCUAAUACAUGCAAGUCGAGCGAACAGACGAGGAGCUUGCUCCUCUGACGUUAGCGGCGGACGGGUGAGUAACACGUGGAUAACCUACCUAUAAGACUGGGAUAACUUCGGGAAACCGGAGCUAAUACCGGAUAACAUGUUGAACCGCAUGGUUCAACAGUGAAAGACGGUCUUGCUGUCGCUUAUAGAUGGAUCCGCGCCGCAUUAGCUAGUUGGUAAGGUAACGGCUUACCAAGGCAACGAUGCGUAGCCGACCUGAGAGGGUGAUCGGCCACACUGGAACUGAGACACGGUCCAGACUCCUACGGGAGGCAGCAGUAGGGAAUCUUCCGCAAUGGGCGAAAGCCUGACGGAGCAACGCCGCGUGAGUGAAGAAGGUCUUCGGAUCGUAAAACUCUGUUAUUAGGGAAGAACAUAUGUGUAAGUAACUAUGCACGUCUUGACGGUACCUAAUCAGAAAGCCACGGCUAACUACGUG
rnacentral:rRNA from 1 species